GACGUCGAAUAUCGAUGUCAUAAACACCAAAGUUGAUCAUAUUUAUGACGUCGAAUAACGACGUCAUCAACACCAAACUUGUUCAUGUUUAUUCGAAUAUCGACAUCAUAAACACCAAACUUGUUCGUGUUUAUGACGUCAUAAGAUAAACACCAAACUUGUUCGUGUUUAUGACGUCGAAUAUGGACGUCAUAAACACCAAAGUUGAUCGUGUUUAUGACGUCGAAUAGCGACAUCAUAAACACCAAACUUGAUCGUGUUUAUGACUCGAAUAUCGACGUC
rnacentral:miRNA from 1 species